rnacentral:lncRNA from 1 species
UUAGCAUAUGUAUUAUUCAAGUGUAGUUCUUAUGGAAUCCAUUUGUCGAGAUAAACUGUCAUUCAAGAUAGUAAUGAUCUAAAAUUCUCGAUAGUUGGUCAUUGUUUUUCGACAGUUAUGAUACAACAUCAAACUUGUUUUAUGUACUCUUCUACGUGUGUUAUGAAGUAAAUAUAUUAUAUACCAUCAUUUGACAUUUGGUAUUUGUUCAUGUUAUUGAUUUUUGAAUAGAUUGACAAACUAUGAUGCUAUUGAAGGGUGCCUGAAGGGCAUGUCAACACCUUCUUCUAGUAAAGGAAGUGCCCUCAAAUGCUACCUAUCUAAUUGAAAAUAAAGAAGUGGCCAGCGCUCAAUGUAAAUUUGAAUAUCGUUUGCUUCGAACUGAAGUCCUUACACUAUAAGUGGUGAAAAGAGAGGAGAAAAAUGAAAUGAUUGAAAUUUGUUAAAUGGAAAACAUUGACUUCCCUUUUUGAAUUGUUGAGAAUAGUGGAACUUUGCAGGUUAUGAAGUUCAAGUAUCUAAUCUUUGUACUUUGAUGAUGAAAAACAUUGUAUAACUUAUUUUCGUAUAU